CUAUUUCGUCGAAAGAUUCGUUGCCAAUAGGAUCAUUGAAUACAAAAAGGAGUCUGCUUUGUGAUCCAUCUACUGAGGAAUAUGUAUCAGCGAUUUCUUUCACGUUAUAUACGGGUUUCACCUUCCAUCCUUGACUCCUAAAACACAACGCUAUAUGGUGUAUAAUGGCGGACUUCCCUGACCCCGAGUUACCAGUCACAACCACCAGGUUCUGACUUUUUAUGAGCUUUUCUACUUCUUUACAAGCUCGUGUUGAAACAAAUUGUCUGUUGUCAUCCUGCCACUGCAUAAAUAUAGCUCGAUCAACUGGCGAUUCUGAAAGAUAAAGGUAUUCUCCAUUACAUUUUGUUAGGCAUUUGACAAGAACAUUAAUAUCAUAUCAUAAUAUUUAAUUGUUUAACCCUUUCGUACAAAAUCAAUGAUUAUGAUUAAAUUAGAUAUUUAAAAGCCGUUAUUUAAUUAAGAAAUAUAAUAUAAUCUGACGAAACAAAUUACAGCUUUAAAGUCACAACAGCAAAACCAAUGCCCAUUCAAUAUGAAUGUCUAAUGUUUUGUGACGAUUUUGAAAAAUUAAAGAUUAAGGUUUAUAAUAAGAACAAUUUAGGCUUGCUGAUAUCGGUCAGUAAAUACUUUUACGGUCUUGAUGAAUGACAUAGGAUAAGUGUGUAUUAACGACAUCAAAAAACCGUGAUCGGAUAGUUUGUGCAAUUCUGCGGAGGUAUAUUGAAAGUUUAGUUCAACCCGAUGCUUUGUCUCAGCAAUGCAUCAACGCUAUGCAUUUCACACCCAGUUAUAUAUAUAUAUAUAUUUUUACCUCAACGUUUAAGAUUUUUUCUGUUAUUGAAACUAUAAAGCCAUGGCUACUAUAUUUCAACCUAGAUGUGAAAAAUAUUCAUUAUAGUAGUAUUAUUGUAUGUGUCCAAAGUGUGUUAUUAGCCAAAUUAAGCUUUUGUCAAUUUUAUUAUCUGUGUUUGGUUAAUUAAAAGAAAAUGUUACAU
rnacentral:sRNA from 1 species